rnacentral:lncRNA from 1 species
GGUGUCUCCGCAGGCCGAACACGCUGCUCGCCCAGCUGCGGAUCAUUACCGCCCUUUUGUUCUCCGUCGCGCGCUCGCCCCACGCUAGGAAUGCAAACUGUCCUUUUGGCUUUUGGGAGGCGGAGACUGAGACUGGAGUCCAGAGGACCAAGGACGACGAGAGAGGAAUUGCAGCAUGGGGUGAUUGAUGGCUAUCAGGGUCACCCUACUCAAGACCCGCCCUAGUGAUUGUUAUGCUGACAUCUGAGAGAACCAGCCUUAUAGUGGGAAUAGAGGAUUUGACAUCUGCUCAAAUGGAAUUGAAGUUGAUUCUUACACCUUCACCCUUCCUUCUCCCUUCCACCCUCC